rnacentral:rRNA from 1 species
UACAGAGGUCUCAAGCGUUAAUCGGAAUUACUGGGCGUAAAGCGUGCGCAGGCGGCUUUGCAAAACAGAUGUGAAAUCCCCGGGCUUAACCUGGGAACUGCAUUUGUGACUGCAAGGCUGGAGUGCGGCAGAGGGGGAUGGAAUUCCGCGUGUAGCAGUGAAAUGCGUAGAUAUGCGGAGGAACACCGAUGGCGAAGGCAAUCCCCUGGGCCUGCACUGACGCUCAUGCACGAAAGCGUGGGGAGCAAACAGG